AAAGAGUCAACAAGUUCAAUAUUCUUUCUACAUUUUGGAGUUAUAGUUCCCACUCAGUAAGUGGGAAGUAUAAUUGUUCAACCCAAGUGCAGGAAUUGAUACAUUUUAACUGCUGAAAAUUUUGGAUGCUUGUGCUUUUUCACCAUUAUUAUUUGCAAAUUCAGUUAUGAUUGCAGAUUCAUAAGAUUCUUCAAAUUUUCAUGAGGAUGUUUAUGAAAACUCACUAUUUGCAUGUCAUUUUGGCUUCAAAUGCAAUUUUUUCUACAGAAUCAAAACUCUAAGAAGAAAAACCUAGAAGUUACUUUAUACACAGAACUUUAAGAAAUGGGGCAAUGAUGAAGAACUAAAGAGAUUGUUGAAAUAAAUAGAUGGAUGGAAAUAUAGAAGACUGAAUGAUUGUUGGAUGGAUUGAUAGAGAAGUGUUUCCAUGAAAAUGUCUGGGUGUGGAUGAUAGUUUUCACAGUAUCAUAUACCCUUUUUAUCUUGACGAACAUUUAUGGAGAGUUAUCUUCUGGGUGAAUAAUUUAGAUCCAGAAAAUUCUACUAGAAAAAAUAUAUUUAGACUUCAGGCUUUUACUACGAAUAAAAUGAAAAGAGUCAACAUUCUAAUAUUGCUGUUAUUCAUAGAUAUAAGAGUCACCACAAAGAUGAUCACAAAAUUAGAACUGCUUUAUUUGUCUUAGAAUGUACAGAGUAGAGUCAAACAGGCCUGGGUUCAGCUUCUGCCCCUUUUGCUUAUUUACUGUAUGAAUUUGGACAUGGUACUUUAUCUUGCUGAUGCUCAGGUUUUCUCCAGGGUAAUAAGACAAUAAAAUACCUCAUAGGGACCAAAAGCGAGUAAAUGAGAUAACAAAUAUAAAACACUGAAUAUAGUGCCUAAUCCAGAGCAAGUACUCCACAAAUAAUGAUUAUUUUAUUUGUAAUAGGUACUAUAAAAAUACUUAUUAGAAAGUAAAAAGAUGUAUAUUUGGUGCAGACUGCAAAUUAGAUAAACAACCACAAAGAUAUUUAUGCCUUUAUGAAAUUCCACUCAAACUGUAUGUUGAUGUACUUACUUUCAGUUCACUUUGCUUGGAGUUGAGUUUAGUGGGUUUUUAAUAGGAGCGCUAGACUGGAGCAAAACUGGAAGUUAAAUUUCAUUAUAGAAUUUCCAGAGAUCAAGGUUAAUAUGCUGGUUAUCCUCGGUCAAAUCAACUGUAUGAUUUACUUUAGUGCAGGCCCUGUGAUACUUCAUUUUAUAUUGCCCAUUUUUUCCUUCAUUGCUUCAUAUAUCUACC
rnacentral:lncRNA from 10 species